AUUGAACGCUGGCGGCAUGCCUUACACAUGCAAGUCGAACGGUAACAGGUCUUCGGUUGCUGACGAGUGGUGAACGGGUGCGUAAUACAUCGGAACGUACCCGAUCGUGGGGGAUAACGAGGCGAAAGCUUUGCUAAUACCGCAUACGAUCUACGUAUGAAAGCGGGGGAUCUUCGGACCUCGCGCGGACGGAGCGGCCGAUGGCAGAUUAGGUAGUUGGUGGGUUAAAAGCUUACCAAGCCGACGAUCUGUAGCUGGUCUGAGAGGAUGAUCAGCCACACUGGGACUGAGACACGGCCCAGACUCCUACGGGAGGCAGCAGUGGGGAAUUUUGGACAAUGGGCGAAAGCCUGAUCCAGCCAUGCCGCGUGCAGGAUGAAGGCCUUCGGGUUGUAAACUGCUUUUGUACGGAACGAAAAGCCUCUUUCUAAUAAAGAGGGGUCAUGACGGUACCGUAAGAAUAAGCACCGGCUAACUACGUG
rnacentral:rRNA from 1 species